rnacentral:misc_RNA from 1 species
AAAUGAAGCACAUUUUCAAGAAGCUACACUUAGGGAGUAACCACGAGCCACAUGGCCCACAUCGAUCAAACGAGACCACUCCCUCGCCACUCUACACCUCCAAUCAACGUAAUCCCCCCGGAAACGCUCCCGCUAGCCCUCCGUCAACGUCUUCAUCGCCGGCGUCCACUGUCACUGGUUCAACGAUUUCAUCCGCGGCGAAUAAUUCUACUAGUCGUACGGACUACUUCUCUUCCGAGGAGGACUUCCAGGUGCAGCUAGCGUUGGCGAUCAGCGCGUCCAAUUCAGAGUUUAGGGAUGAUCCCGAGAAGGAUCAGAUCCGAG